AGCCCUGCCUGCAGAGAGACAGCCUUAAGGAGCCACAGACAACAGACCCUAUGUGCUUCCUGACAAGGAGGAAGGCUACAGAACUGCUCCAGGAGGGAGUAGUCACACUGCGAUUUGCCACUCAAAAACACAGCUUGCUUAUUCACUCAGCUGUGCACCAGGUUUCAGGUUUGAGUUUUAGGGAAAACCAAAAAUUCAAGAGUAGCAACAGAUGCUCCUCAUCUUGAAGUUUCUGCCCACAUGCUGCCACUUGAGUCAAGGAAAGAAGCAGCUAAUUCAGCAAGGCUGGGGAAUUGAGAGUUUGAUGUGGGGCCAUAAGAUAGUUGCUAAUACAUCAGAUCCCCAUCCCUGCAUUUAUACCGAUGCCAAACCCCAACAGUCUUUGAGCAUUCCCCGAAAAGACAUUGCUGGCAAUAGCAUCAAGCUCUGCAAGGGGAGCACCAAAUCUACAAAGUGCACACCUCUAGUAAAGAGCAAGUUUAAAAUCUUUUCUUGGGUAGCGGUGGUGGUGGGAGGAUGGCAGUAUAUUUGAUGGCGCGUUUGAUGUUGGUCAUAUGGAAAAAUGAAAGAACCACAGAGAAAACUGUUUAUUCCUUGCUUACAGAAAAAAACUUUCUGUCCUAUCCAAAGGGAUAAGUGGUUUCUAUCCUCCACUAAGAGGUUGAAUGAGCCAGAUAAAGAGGUAAGCCAAGAUUAUGUUUUAUGCAAGCGACACGCCAUGAAGAAAGCAGAGUACAGAGAGUUAUAUAGAAACUGACUAAUCUAAAAGUGGUCUCAUGAACAUGAAUCUAUCAAAACCUAGGGUCCCAGCUUCUGUUAAUCCUUUCUGUUUACUCCCAUCUGUCUCCCUCCCUUUUAUUCCCACUGCCAAAUAAUAAUAUUUAUAAUCCAAAUAUUUCAAUACUUGAAUCUGAAUUGUCUGUUUCUAAGGAUGUCAUGAGUCAGAUUCUUAAAUUAUUAAAACAUGUACACCUCCAGACCCCAUGUAGCAGAUACUGUGGCCAGCUCACUCAGCAAUCAUUCCAAACCUCUUUUAGUCUGCCUUCCUGUCUGCAUUGGCUUGAAGGCUAAAAACAAGAUUUCCCAUACUCUUUAGCUGCUAGGAUUCCAGACAUAAUUUAGAUCUGCCAAUUGGUAUACUCCCAGAAAACUGAAUCUAAGCUGAAUUCCAUAGAAGGAGACGAGCAGAGCGUAUGACAUGCAUCUUUCUGGUGCAAAUAGUGGCAUGGGUUUUAUGAGGCUGGAGUUGACAGUUGUGGCUGUGGUUUCUUGAUUCAACAGGUUCUUGAAACAAUCAUCUGUUAUUCCCUUUGUAAUCAAGCUCUGCUGCACGGUUAGAAAAAUCAUUCCAGAAAGUGUCUGUUUUAUCAGGUUUGCCGAUGAUUACGCAAGCCACAAUAGACCCUUGAAUUAAAACCAGCUAGAAUGGAUUUUAUGUUCUGCAGCUAAAAACCUGACUAUUACUCUCUUUCUCCAUUUUAUAGUAGGACCUAGAAACAAGGGGAGAGGGACAAGUCAAUGCUGUGAGAAGAAACCAGUCUAUUCAACUAUACUUCUUUCUCUCAGACACCCUAUUCAUGUUUCCUAGAAAUUUACAGCUGGAUGAAUUUACAAAACUCUGCUUCUCCAUCCCAAUCCUAAAAUGGUACCGCCGCUGAGGAGCCUGAUGCCUAACUUCGAGAUCAACAGAGUACAAGGUUGAAGGACUCCGUUUUAACUCUUAUUUCGCUUAAUGUCACCCCAAAGUUGGAAACAUUUCAAAAGUACACUUCUCAGUAGGGCAACUCUGUUUCUAAAUAACAUGCUCAUUUAACAAGAUACAGUUUACUUUGGCUGCUAUUUCAAAAUCCCCUGCCCAGGCCUCAUGCCUGUGGUCACUUGUCUUUGGAUGUCUUACAAAUGGCCUCCUGCUUGAGGUAUAUGGGAGAGUAUCUUUUGAGUCACUAUGUAUUAAAGUUUGGCUAAAUAUACUAAAUUAUAUAUUUCAAAUUAAAAUGAGUGUUUUCAAAUGCA